CGCUCUUUGUUACCUAUAGAUAGAGAGUCAUACCUGCCCAGUGAAUUUUUUUAACGGCCGCAGUAUUACAACUGUGCUAAGGUAGCGCAAUCAAUCGCCUUUUAAUUGAAGGCUUGUAUGAAUGGUUUGAUGAGAUUGAGCUGUCUAUAUUUUUUUUAAAUAAAAAUUAAUCUUUAAGUGAAAAAGCUUAAAUAAAAUUAAAAGACGAAAAGACCCUAUCGAGCUUAAGAUUACUUUAAUAAUGAUUAUUUUAGAAUAAAUUUUAUAUUAAUAUAAUUUUUUGUUGGGGAGACAGAAGAACAAAAAAAGCUUCUUUUUAUGUUAAUUAUAUUAAUAAAUAUAAGUGAUCCGUUUUUAACGAUUAUAAGAUAAAGUUACCGUAGGGAUAACAGCGUAAUUUUUCUGGAGAGGAUAUCGAUAGAAAAGUUUGCGACCUCGAUGUUGGAUUGGAGACCCUACCGGGUGGAGCCAUUCGGUUUAGGAGGUCUGUUCGACCUUUAAAUUUCCACA
rnacentral:rRNA from 1 species